rnacentral:rRNA from 1 species
CAGUCGUACGCUUUUUCUUUCCCGGAGCUUGCUCCACCGAAAGAAAAGGAGUGGCGAACGGGUGAGUAACACGUGGGUAACCUGCCCAUCAGAAGGGGAUAACACUUGGAAACAGGUGCUAAUACCGUAUAACAAUCGAAACCGCAUGGUUUUGAUUUGAAAGGCGCUUUCGGGUGUCGCUGAUGGAUGGACCCGCGGUGCAUUAGCUAGUUGGUGAGGUAACGGCUCACCAAGGCCACGAUGCAUAGCCGACCUGAGAGGGUGAUCGGCCACAUUGGGACUGAGACACGGCCCAAACUCCUACGGGAGGCAGCAGUAGGGAAUCUUCGGCAAUGGACGAAAGUCUGACCGAGCAACGCCGCGUGAGUGAAGAAGGUUUUCGGAUCGUAAAACUCUGUUGUUAGAGAAGAACAAGGAUGAGAGUAACUGUUCAUCCCUUGACGGUAUCUAACCAGAAAGCCACGGCUAACUACGUGCCAGCAGCCGCGGUAAUACGUAGGUGGCAAGCGUUGUCCGGAUUUAUUGGGCGUAAAGCGAGCGCAGGCGGUUUCUUAAGUCUGAUGUGAAAGCCCCCGGCUCAACCGGGGAGGGUCAUUGGAAACUGGGAGACUUGAGUGCAGAAGAGGAGAGUGGAAUUCCAUGUGUAGCGGUGAAAUGCGUAGAUAUAUGGAGGAACACCAGUGGCGAAGGCGACUCUCUGGUCUGUAACUGACGCUGAGGCUCGAAAGCGUGGGGAGCAAACAGGAUUAGAUACCCUGGUAGUCCACGCCGUAAACGAUGAGUGCUAAGUGUUGGAGGGUUUCCGCCCUUCAGUGCUGCAGCUAACGCAUUAAGCACUCCGCCUGGGGAGUACGACCGCAAGGUUGAAACUCAAAGGAAUUGACGGGGGCCCGCACAAGCGGUGGAGCAUGUGGUUUAAUUCGAAGCAACGCGAAGAACCUUACCAGGUCUUGACAUCCUUUGACCACUCUAGAGAUAGAGCUUCCCCUUCGGGGGCAAAGUGACAGGUGGUGCAUGGUUGUCGUCAGCUCGUGUCGUGAGAUGUUGGGUUAAGUCCCGCAACGAGCGCAACCCUUAUUGUUAGUUGCCAUCAUUUAGUUGGGCACUCUAGCAAGACUGCCGGUGACAAACCGGAGGAAGGUGGGGAUGACGUCAAAUCAUCAUGCCCCUUAUGACCUGGGCUACACACGUGCUACAAUGGGAAGUACAACGAGUCGCGAAGUCGCGAGGCUAAGCUAAUCUCUUAAAGCUUCUCUCAGUUCGGAUUGUAGGCUGCAACUCGCCUACAUGAAGCCGGAAUCGCUAGUAAUCGCGGAUCAGCACGCCGCGGUGAAUACGUUCCCGGGCCUUGUACACACCGCCCGUCACACCACGAAAGUUUGUAACACCCGAAGUCGGUGAGGUAACCU